rfam:Porphyromonas sp. COT-290_OH860 contig_4, whole genome shotgun sequence.
GGGGAUGAAUUGGCUUUGACAGCGCGACGAAGUGAUUUGUAAGCAUGUAGUGCGUGGGUGCCCAGCACUAUAAUCUCGGACAUCGAACAAUUUAGCUGGCGAAAACAAUUACGCUCUUGCUGCGUAGUCGAAGUAUAGUAGACUAACCGCUUAAUCGCUGCAUGGAUGCGGCGACAAGACAUCACUCAGAGAGCCCCCGUCCCGAGGCGAGCUGGUUAUAGUGGUGCCGGAAAUUCGGGAAUCACUCACGAGAUGCCCUCUGUCGUGAGUCAGAUUUAGGGGGAUAAGGAGUUUGGCUGGUCGUUUCUGCCGCACCCGACUCUCGAAAAUCUCAAGAGAAACUAAACAUGUAGAAAGCAAAUUAGUUCUGUGUUUGGACCGGGGUUCAACCCCCCGCAUCUCCACAC